AAUAGUACCAUAACAACGCAGAGCCAAAAUUACUUAACAAUGACAAAAUCAGAGGUUAGUUAUGCUGCCAUAAAGUGCUAUAGAACAAUAAAAAGCCAAAGAUUAUAGGUAUAUCUAUGUUCACCAUGCAAAUCUCAUGCCUGGAAUAUGAAGUGAACUCAAUGAAUGGGUCUCUUGUUAAAUGUAAUUUAUGCUCAUCCUGCAAAGCUCUAAUGGUAAUAUACGCUGUCUCUAUCAGACAAGUGUGUCUCACCAGCUACAUCUGGAAGCUGACUGUGGACAGUGGAUUACAGCCAGUGGUGCAGAAUUGCUUUCCUACAGCAUCUCCACAAGGAGUUUCCUUAUCAACCCCUUAAGCUACAUAUCACUGAUGAGUGAACGAAUUCCAUCCUCUUUAUAUAUAAGAAUUGAAGCCCUAGAACUUUGAAUGAGAAGAUUGUUCACUCCAAGCAUGGGUCAUUAUAUGAAGGACAAAAAGAAGAUUUAGUCAACAAAGCAAGAGGCAUGUGAUGAUGAAAAAGCUUGCUAGACUAUUUUCAACUAUAAAAAGGCACACUUGGAACAAUUCUCCAACUCUGAUUUUUGGCCAAACUGGACAGUCUCUACACAAAAGAAUAAAUGGAC